rnacentral:rRNA from 1 species
ACGAAUAUAAAUCGGAAAGCUGUCGCUGGCCCUCUGGGCAUGUGCACGCCGACCGUGUUUCAUAAAUUUCUCACCUGUGAACCUAAUGUAGGAUGCCUCUCUUUCGGGAGGGGGGACCUAUGUCUUCAUAUACAUCUCCGUGUAGAAAGUCUUAGAAUGUUUACUAUCAUAGAGUUGCGACUUCUAGGAGACGCGAAUCUGUGAGAUAAAAGUUAUUACAACUUUCAGCAAUGGAUCUCUUGGCUCUCGCAUCGAUGAAGAACGCAGCGAAAAGCGAUAUGUAAUGUGAAUUGCAGAUCUACAGUGAAUCAUCGAAUCUUUGAACGCACCUUGCGCUCCUCGGUGUUCCGAGGAGCAUGCCUGUUUGAGUGUCAGUAAAUUCUCAACCCCUCUUGAUUGAGGGAGUUUGGAUAGUGGGGGUUGCCGGAGACUUAGGACUCGGGCUCUCCUGAAAUGCAUCGGCUUGCGGUCGACUUUCGACUAUGCGCGACAAGGCUUUCGGCGUGAUAAUGAUCGCCGUUCGCUGAAGUGCAUGAAUGAAAGUUUCGCGCCUCUAAUACGUCGACUCUUAUUAUCUCUUCGGAGAGAAAAGGUCUUCUUU